UACGAAGGGGGCUAGCGUUGUUCGGAAUCACUGGGCGUAAAGCGCACGUAGGCGGCCUUUUAAGUCAGGGGUGAAAGCCUGAGGCUCAACCUCAGGACUGCCCUUGAUACUGGGAGUCUUGAGUAUGGUAGAGGUUGGUGGAACAGCAAGUGUAGAGGUGAAAUUCGUAGAUAUUUGCUAGAACACCAGUGGCGAAGGCGGCCAACUGGACCAUAACUGACGCUGAGGUGCGAAAGCGUGGGGAGCAAACAGG
rnacentral:rRNA from 1 species